rnacentral:pre_miRNA from 1 species
UAGCGAACACUAAACAGAGACAAAGCUAAAAGAGGCGACGAAACACACGCUAGCGUGUGUUUCGUCGCCUUUUUUGGCUUUGUCUCUGUUUAGUGUUCGACG